GUAAAGAAUAGUUCGCGCUAUAUAAGAAUCACUAGAGCCCAUGCUUUACACUGUCCACUAAUUCUGCCUGAGGAACUGGUACAAAAGCUGUGAGGAAAAUUUCAAAAUGAAGCACCUCCUGGGAAUGGACCUUCUUGUUGCUGUUGCCGUCGCACUAGCUGUGAUCAUCACGGCUCCUAACGAAGCGGUUGCUCUGGGUGAUGGCAUCGGAGGCAUUAGUUCAAUUGGUUUGCCCAAGAAGUGAACGAAUGCUGAAUACGGAUCAAGCUCUGGCCAUUAGUUUCGGCUAUUGAAUCACUUUUCAAAUGCAAUAAAGUUUUUAUACGUGAGAAGGA